rnacentral:rRNA from 1 species
CCGCACAAGCGGUGGAGCAUGUGGUUUAAUUCGACGCAACGCGAAGAACCUUACCAGGGCUCGACAUCCCCUGACCGCGUAUGAAAGUACGUUUUCACCCUCGGGUGACAGGGAGACAGGUGGUGCAUGGUUGUCGUCAGCUCGUGUCGUGAGAUGUUGGGUUAAGUCCCGCAACGAGCGCAACCCCUACGUUUAGUUGCUAACAGGUGAAGCUGAGCACUCUAGACGAACUGCCGUUGACAAAACGGAGGAAGGUGGGGAUGACGUCAAAUCAUCAUGCCCCUUAUGUUCUGGGCUACACACGUGCUACAAUGGCCGGUACAAAGGGUAGCAAGACCGCGAGGUGGAGCCAACCCCAAAAAGCCGGUCUCAGUUCGGAUUGGAGUCUGCAACUCGACUCCAUGAAGUUGGAAUCGCUGGUAAUCGUGGAUCAGCAUGCCACGGUGAAUACGUUCCCGGGCCUU